CACGUAGGGGGCGAGCGUUGUCCGGAUUCAUUGGGCGUAAAGGGCGCGCAGGCGGCCCGGAAAGUCGGAUGUGAAAACUCGGGGCUCAACCCCAAGCGUGCACCCGAUACUGCCGGGCUUGAGGCAGGUAGGGGAGAUCGGAAUUCCUGGUGUAGCGGUGAAAUGCGCAGAUAUCAGGAGGAACACCGGUGGCGAAGGCGGAUCUCUGGGCCUGUCCUGACGCUGAGGCGCGAAAGCUAGGGGAGCGAACAGG
rnacentral:rRNA from 1 species